AAAAAAAAAAAAAAAAAAAAAAAAAAAAAAGACAAAAAUUCUCUGAGAAAAAGAGAUCUCACCAUCUCCUUCUCUCAAUUUCACACCCUUAUCCAAAAUACUGCAAAGCCCACACCUCUUGCAGAUUCUCUUCUCUUAUAGAAAAUACAGGAGGUUUUGAUUGGUGGUGGCCAAUUAAGGUUUCGAGUACGGUUGCACUUCGUGACAUUUUAGAGAAGAGGAUACACAAAGAAGAUUGAAUCUUCAAGGGUUAGUUCUUUCCUAAUCUCUUUUCUCAAAUUAUAAAUGCAUCCUGUAAUUUUGAUUUAAUGCAUAAUUUUUCUUUUGGUUUUCAUAAAAUUCAAUGUUCUGUAAAAAUUGGAAUUUGGGACCGAUCCUCGCUUCUGCAAUGGGCCUUCACUGGUUCCUUCAAAGAGUUCGUGACCGGAUCGUGAAGGAAUUCGCAAAGUUUUUGGCUUCAAGAGUUAAUUUUUGGAGAAAACGAGGCCAAAUUUGGAGGAAUUUCGAUUGAAUUCGCAAUUGUACUACAGUAGCGUUGCAACGCUCUGAGGCAGAAAGAACGAACCGCUUUGCACAUGAUUUGGUUCGUGGCUCACUUGGUUCGUGUCCGAUUCGCUUGGUUCGAGCGAUUCGUGAUCGGUUCGGAUGCUGGACGGUCCGGUUCGUGCGGCUCAAUCCCGAAUCGCUUGUUUUGAACCGACUAACUUUUAUUUAUGUAAUAAUUGGCUGCUUUUAAUUAAUUAAAUUAAUACAAUUGUUAUAUUAAUUUAAUUAA